rnacentral:piRNA from 1 species
UGAAGAAUGUGUCCUGGGCUCGUGAC